rnacentral:ncRNA from 2 species
GACAGUUCUCAGGGCGGGGUGAAAGUCCCCACCGGCGGUAAGGGAGUUUCUCCCAAGCCCGCGAGCGCCUGCCAGCGGCAGGGUCAGCAGAUCCGGUGCGACUCCGGAGCCGACGGUUAAAGUCCGGAUGGAAGAGAACGUGC